GGCUCACACAGCAGUGUCGAAGAGCGUAACAGACGUUUGGUUUGGUGUUUGUAACUCAAGAAGAGAAGACGGGUGCACAAUCCCAAGAUUGCGGAGGCUGUACGGCGUCUCUGAGGCACACUGCAGGCGCUAUGAACCAGAGCAAAGACUAACGUCGCCUCAUAACAAAGCCGUGACCUCCGAUUUGCUUGGGGCUAUUUCAGCAAGACAGAUUCACUGCUGAGACUGACGACAUUGUUUCUGCCCGUAAGACGUAUUAUGAGUCGGUACACCGGAGUUUCAUAUACAAACAACCUGAACUCGCAUCGCAGGCGGAAAAUGUGAAAAGUUUAGCUCGGAGUCGAUCCAGAAGAAAAAGGUUGCUGGAAGCGAGACGAAGUGUGCUGGCUGAGAAUGAGAUGGACAUUUGGAAGUGCGCCACCAUAGAUCUCAUAUCUGAUGAGGAAGACGGCAUAGAGACAGAGCGUCGCGCGUCAUA